rnacentral:rRNA from 1 species
CUUUCCCUCUUUCUUCCUGCUUUCCCCCUGCACGUCGACCGGCAGCACGGGGGCAGCCCUGGUGGCGAGUGGCGAACGGGUGAGUAAUACAUCGGAACGUGCCCUGUCGUGGGGGAUAACGUAGCGAAAGUUACGCUAAUACCGCAUACGAUCUGAGGAUGAAAGCGGGGGACCUUCGGGCCUCGCGCGAUCGGAGCGGCCGAUGUCAGAUUAGGUAGUUGGUGGGGUAAAGGCCUACCAAGCCGACGAUCUGUAGCUGGUCUGAGAGGACGACCAGCCACACUGGGACUGAGACACGGCCCAGACUCCUACGGGAGGCAGCAGUGGGGAAUUUUGGACAAUGGGCGCAAGCCUGAUCCAGCCAUUCCGCGUGCAGGACGAAGGCCUUCGGGUUGUAAACUGCUUUGGUACGGAACGAAAAGGCUCUGGCUAAUACCUGGGGCUCAUGACGGUACCGUAAGAAUAAGCACCGGCUAACUACGUG